CCCUUAGAUGUUCUGGGCCGCACGCGCGCUACACUGAUGCAUUCAACGAGUCCAACCUUGACCGAGAGGUCCGGGUAAUCUUUGAAACUGCAUCGUGAUGGGGCUAGAUUAUUGCAAUUAUUAAUCUUCAACGAGGAAUGCCUAGUAAGCGUGAUUCAUCAAAUCGCGUUGAUUACGUCCCUGCCCUUUGUACACACCGCCCGUCGCUCCUACCGAUUGAGUGUGUUGGUGAGGAGCUUGGAUUGGCCUCGGAAGGUGGUUCGCCACCGUCCGUAGCUGAGAAGUUCUCCAAACCGCCCCACUUAGAGGAAGGAGAAGUCGUAACA
rnacentral:rRNA from 1 species